GCAUUGAUGGUUCAGUGGUAGAAUUCCCAACUUUCAUACAGGAGACCCAAGUUCGAUUCUUAGCCAAUGCU
rnacentral:tRNA from 1 species